AGGGGAGGGGCAGCCUAGGUGUGGGAGAUUGUGCGCAGAAUAUGUUUUGUGAUUUUGUUCCCUUUGGAAAAAGGGAAUUAAAUGCACACCUUCUGUGUUUCAGCUUAGAUGUUGUGGAUUGGUUUAGAGCAUACAAUGAAUCAAAGACAACUGGCCAGAAAGAUAUUUCACUCCUAAGGGAGUAGAGCCUGGUGAUUAUGGCCAGCACUCCAGAGGUGAACUUCCUGCUUUUAAAUCUUACUAAUUCACUUACUAGCUUUGUGAGCUUGGGAAAUUUGCUUAACCUCUCUGUGUCUCAGUGUCUUCAACUAUAAAAUAGGGAAAUAAUUGUACCCAUCUUCCACUCUGACAGAGGCAUCUUUCUAAAUCACAGAUUUGAUCCUGUCUCUUCCUUUAAAACAAAAAAGUAAGUUCCUCCACAAGCAAAAUGGUCCUUCCUGAGAUUCUCCUGGCUUCCUCCCUGCCCUGAGUCCUGCCCCUGUGUAUGGAUUCCCAAGUAUUCACUCCUCCGAUGUAGAGAGAAAUAUGCCAGCAGUUGAGAACCAAUGGAAGUCAGAUAUUGUUCCAAUAAGUGGAUCCAGCGCCAUACAGAAAGGGUGUUCCCUUCCCCAGGACGUGUCUCUGCAUGCCACUGACGUUCCACUGAAGGCAGGUGGUGGACCAGCCGUGCCAGCAUUCAGGGACCACCUCUUAGACCUGAAGGGGACUCACCAAGAACCAAAUGGAAUAGGCCAAGACUCAAGCAGAGCCUUGGGGCACUAUGGAACAUUUCUUCUUCAACCACACAGUGGUUGCAAACAUGAAAUUUUUCCAGCAAUGUGAUCUUCUCCCUUGGUGUCUUGCUUGAGUAAUUAAAUAAAACAAGGAGUCCUCUUAACUUUGAAAUGCA
rnacentral:lncRNA from 1 species